rnacentral:rRNA from 1 species
GAGCGAACGCUGGCGGCAUGCCUAACACAUGCAAGUCGAGCGCCCUCAGCAAUGGGGGAGCGGCGGACGGGUGAGUAACGCGUAGGAACGUAUCCUGAGGUGGGGGAUAACUCCGGGAAACCGGAGCUAAUACCGCGUGAGACCACGUCCUGGCAUCAGGAUGAGGUUAAAGCUCCGCAAGGGGCGCUUGAGGAGGGGUUCACGGCCUAUCAGCUAGUUGGCGGGGUUAAAGCCCACCAAGGCGACGACGGGUAACCGGUCUGAAAGGACGACCGGUCACAAUGGCACUGAGACACGGGCCAUACUCCUACGGGAGGCAGCAGUGGGGAAUUUUGCGCAAUGGGGGAAACCCUGACGCAGCGAUGCCGCGUGGAGGACGAAGGUCUUCGGAUUGUAAACUCCUUUUGUCGGUGAAAAACAUUUACGUGAAUAACGUAAACUGAUUGUAUCCGGCGAAUAAGCCACGGCUAACUUCGUG